AGACCCGAAACCCGGUGAUCUAGCCAUGGGCAGGUUGAAGGUUGGGUAACACUAACUGGAGGACCGAACCGACUAAUGUUGAAAAAUUAGCGGAUGACCUGUGGCUGGGGGUGAAAGGCCAAUCAAACCGGGAGAUAGCUGGUUCUCCCCGAAAGCUAUUUAGGUAGCGCCUCGUGAAUUCAUCUCCGGGGGUAGAGCACUGUUUCGGCUAGGGGGCCAUCCCGGCUUACCAACCCGAUGCAAACUGCGAAUACCGGAGAAUGUUAUCACGGGAGACACACGGCGGGUGCUAACGUCCGUCGUGAAGAGGGAAACAACCCAGACCGCCAGCUAAGGUCCCAAAGUCAUGGUUAAGUGGGAAACGAUGUGGGAAGGCCCAGACAGCCAGGAUGUUGGCUUAGAAGCAGCCAUCAUUUAAAGAAAGCGUAAUAGCUCACUGGUCGAGUCGGCCUGCGCGGAAGAUGUAACGGGGCUAAACCAUGCACCGAAGCUGCGGCAGCGACACUAUGUGUUGUUGGGUAGGGGAGCGUUCUGUAAGCCUGUGAAGGUGUGUCGUGAGGCAUGCUGGAGGUAUCAGAAGUGCGAAUGCUGACAUAAGUAACGAUAAAGCGGGUGAAA
rnacentral:rRNA from 1 species